AUUGAACGCUGGCGGAAUGCUUUACACAUGCAAGUCGAGCGGCAGCGCGGCCUUCGGGCUGGCGGCGAGCGGCGAACGGGUGAGUAAUGCAUCGGAACAUGCCCAGUCGUGGGGGAUAACACUUCGAAAGAAGUGCUAAUACCGCAUACGUCCUGAGGGGGAAAGCGGGGGAUCGCAAGACCUCGCGCGAUUGGGGUGGCCGAUGUCAGAUUAGCUAGUUGGUGGGGUAAAGGCCUACCAAGGCGACGAUCUGUAGCUGGUCUGAGAGGAUGAUCAGCCACACUGGGACUGAGACACGGCCCAGACUCCUACGGGAGGCAGCAGUGGGGAAUUUUGGACAAUGGGGGCAACCCUGAUCCAGCCAUGCCGCGUGAGUGAAGAAGGCCUUCGGGUUGUAAAGCUCUUUCGGCAGGAACGAAACGGUGGGCUCUAACAUAGUCCGCUAAUGACGGUACCUGAAGAAGAAGCACCGGCUAACUACGUG
rnacentral:rRNA from 1 species